rnacentral:rRNA from 1 species
ACGCACGCUGGCGGCGUGCUUAACACAUGCAAGUCGAACGGAAAGGCCCUGCUUUUGUGGGGUGCUCGAGUGGCGAACGGGUGAGUAACACGUGAGUAACCUGCCCUUGACUUUGGGUUAACUUCAGGAAACUGGGGCUAAUACCGGAUAGGAGCUCCUGCUGCAUGGUGGGGGUUGGAAAGUUUCGGCGGUUGGGGAUGGACUCGCGGCUUAUCAGCUUGUUUGGUGGGGUAGUGGCUUACCAAGGCUUUGACGGGUAGCCGGCCGGGGAGGGUGACCGGCCACAUUGGGACUGAGAUACGGCCCAGACUCCUACGGGAGGCAGCAGUGGGGAAUAUUGCACAAUGGGCGGAAGCCUGAUGCAGCAACGCCGCGUGCGGGAUGACGGCCUUCGGGUUGUAAACCGCUUUCGCCUGUGACGAAGCGUGAGUGACGGUAAUGGGUAAAGAAGCACCGGCUAACUACGUG